CACAGAACCAGCUUGUCAAAGCCUGCUGUCGUCUGAUCUCUGAAGCUAAGCAAGGCCAGAUCUGGUUAGUGCUUAGAUGGGAGACUGCUGGGAAUACCUGUUGCAACAGUGG
rnacentral:rRNA from 1 species